rnacentral:rRNA from 1 species
AGGACGAACGCUGGCGGCGUGCUUAACACAUGCAAGUCGAGCGGUAAGGCCCUUUCGGGGGUACACGAGCGGCGAACGGGUGAGUAACACGUGGGUGACCUGCCCUUAGCUCUGGGAUAAGCCUGGGAAACUGGGUCUAAUACCGGAUAUGACCUCGCGAUGCAUGUCGUGGGGUGGAAAGCCUUGUGCGGCUAGGGAUGGGCCCGCGGCCUAUCAGCUUGUUGGUGGGGUGAUGGCCUACCAAGGCGACGACGGGUAGCCGGCCUGAGAGGGCGACCGGCCACACUGGGACUGAGACACGGCCCAGACUCCUACGGGAGGCAGCAGUGGGGGAAUCUUGCGCAAUGGGCGAAAGCCUGACGCAGCGACGCCGCGUGAGGGAUGACGGCCUUCGGGUUGUAACCUCUUUCAGCCCUGACGAGCGAAAGUGGCGGUAGGGCGAGAAGAAGCACCGGCCAACUACGUGCCAGCAGCCGCGGUAA